ACUCAAAUGAAUUGACGGGGGCCCGCACAAGCGGUGGAGCAUGUGGUUUAAUUCGACGCAACGCGAAGAACCUUACCAGGGCUUGACAUGCCGGUAGUACCAACCUGAAAGGGAAGGGAGCCCGCAAGGGAAGCCGGCACAGGUGGUGCAUGGCUGUCGUCAGCUCGUGUCGUGAGAUGUUGGGUUAAGUCCCGCAACGAGCGCAACCCUCACCCUCUGUUGCCAUCGGGUCAUGCCGGGCACUCUGAGGGAACUGCCCCGGUCAACGGGGAGGAAGGCGGGGACGACGUCAAGUCAUCAUGCCCCUUACGCCCUGGGCUACACACGUGCUACAAUGGCCGGUACAGAGGGCUGCAAACCCGCGAGGGGGAGCUAAUCCCACAAAGCCGGUCUAAGUUCGGAUUGCAGGCUGCAACUCGCCUGCAUGAAGGAGGAAUCGCUAGUAAUCGCGCAUCAGCACGGCGCGGUGAAUACGUUCCCGGGCCUUGUACACACCGCCCGU
rnacentral:rRNA from 1 species